rnacentral:rRNA from 1 species
GAUGAACGCUGGCGGCGUGCCUAAUACAUGCAAGUCGAGCGAACAGACGAGGAGCUUGCUCCUUUGACGUUAGCGGCGGACGGGUGAGUAACACGUGGGUAACCUACCUAUAAGACUGGGAUAACUUCGGGAAACCGGAGCUAAUACCGGAUAAUAUUUCGAACCGCAUGGUUCGAUAGUGAAAGAUGGCUUUUCUAUCACUUAUAGAUGGUCAUGCGCCGUAUUAGCUAGUUGGUAAGGUAACGGCUUAUCAAGGCAACGAUACGUAUCCGACCUGAGGGGGUGAUCGGCCACACUGGAACGGAGACACGGUCCAUACUCCGACGGGAGGCAGCAGUAGGGAAUCUUCCGCAAUGGGCGAAAGCCUGACGUAGCAACGCCGCGUGAGUGAUGAAGGUCUUCGGAUCGUAAAACUCUGUUAUUAGGGAAGAACAAACGUGUAAGUAACUGUGCACGUCUUGACGGUACCUAAUCAGAAAGCCACGGCUAACUACGUG